GGUGCUAUAGUGUAGUGGCUAUCACUUGGGAUUCUGAUACCAAAUUCCCAAAACCCAGGUUCGAGCCCUGGUAGCGCCU
rfam:Phanerochaete carnosa HHB-10118-sp unplaced genomic scaffold PHACAscaffold_1, whole genome shotgun sequence.